CAGUAGCCACGGUAAUACGUAGGUGGCAAGCGUUGUCCGGAAUUAUUGGGCGUAAAGGGCUCGCAGGCGGUUUCUUAAGUCUGAUGUGAAAGCCCCCGGCUCAACCGGGGAGGGUCAUUGGAAACUGGGAAACUUGAGUGCAGAAGAGGAGAGUGGAAUUCCACGUGUAGCGGUGAAAUGCGUAGAGAUGUGGAGGAACACCGGUGGCGAAAGCGGCUCUCUGGCUCGUAACUGACGCUGAGGCUCGAAAGCGUGGGGAGCAAACAGGACUAGAUACCCCAGUAGUCCCUGUCUCUUAUAC
rnacentral:rRNA from 1 species